rnacentral:rRNA from 1 species
UACGUAGGGUGCAAGCGUUAAUCGGAAUUACUGGGCGUAAAGCGUGCGCAGGCGGUUUUGUAAGUCUGUCGUGAAAUCCCCGGGCUCAACCUGGGAAUUGCGAUGGGGACUGCAAGGCUAGAAUCUGGCAGAGGGGGGUAGAAUUCCACGUGUAGCAGUGAAAUGCGUAGAGAUGUGGAGGAACACCGAUGGCGAAGGCAGCCCCCUGGGUCAAGAUUGACGCU